rnacentral:rRNA from 1 species
UAGUAAUCGCGGAUCAGAAUGCCGCGGUGAAUACGUUCCCGGGUCUUGUACACACCGCCCGUCACACCAUGGGAGUCGGGAAUGCCCGAAGCCGGCGGCCUAACCUUAUAGGAGGGAGCCGUCGAAGGCAGGCCCGGUGACUGGGGUGAAGUCGUAACAAGGUACC